GACAGAGGGGGCAAGCGUUGCUCGGAAUCACUGGGCGUAAAGGGCGCGUAGGCGGGAUGGCAAGUCGGUCGUGAAAUCCCUCGGCUCAACCGAGGAGCGUCGGCCGAUACUGCCGUUCUUGAGGGAUGCAGAGGAGACUGGAAUUCCCGGUGUAGCGGUGAAAUGCGUAGAUAUGCGGAGGAACACCGAUGGCGAAGGCAAUCCCCCUGGGCCUGCACUGACGCUCAUGCACGAAAAGCGUGGGGGAGCAAACAGG
rnacentral:rRNA from 1 species